AUGCAGGAGGGCGGACGGGCAGUCAGCGAGGAAUCGGAGCCGCCGCCGCCGCCAUCGGCUUCCCGGCUCAACCCGGCGCUCCCGCUGCUGCUGGAGCCGCUAUCACUGCCGCCGCCGCCGCUGCGAACCCGGGGCCCCUGCACGCCCGGGCCGACCUGGGCCCUCACUUUCUUGCCCCUGUGGCCCGGGUUGCCCCAGGCCGGGCGCAGCGCCCCCUGUCCGUAUGCUAGGGCGGCGCGCCGGCGGCCGUCAGCGUCCCCCGGGGGGCAGGGGCUGCUGGCCGCGGUGGAGACGGCGGGUGGAGGGGGCCGGGACCACGCGCUGGCGGCGGAGGGAUCCCCCGACCCUUCCCCCCAUAUAAAGAGAUACAAUGUUUCCUUUUAUGGCGAGGCCGCUCCUUAUAUGGUGAGCCCCUGCGCCCCCGCCCCAUUGGUCGGCGGUUCCGGCACCUCCGCUCCCCAUUGGCCCAUAGGGGGCGCUUAUUUGCAUAGACAUACCGAACUCGCUGCUGUCAUCCCGCGUCAGACGGCGACUCCGAAAAGGGAGGAGCCGACGUCUCUUAAAGGAACAGAAGAAGAGAGACGACUCCGCCCCCUUGACCAGAGAAUGGUAGAGAGAAUUGGGAGAAAUCUGCGGAGGGGAAGCCUGGGAGGGGACAGGAGCGCAGUCUUGCGGAGCAGAGGGAGCAGCAUUGGGAACCCGGGACUGAAAGAACUGGAAGCAAACACUGGGGUAGUCCCUGGGAGGAUUGUACUGGUUGCAGUAAAUGAUAUAAUACAGCCCAAAUUCCAAGGGAGUGCAAAGACUGGAGCACUUAUCCACCCCUUCCUGAGGGAGCCAAAGUUACUGCCCGAGCAGAGGGGCCUUGGGUCCCCGGUGUCCAGAUUCGUCUUGCCCCUGCCACUGGGCUCCAACUCAUCCCCUCCCCCCGACUUCCUUUCCCUUUCCCUCUCUUCAAGGCGACGACACGUUCCCACCAGGCCAGCUCCCCGGUCCUCAUUCAUCAUCCUCUAUACUGAGUGUGGGGGUGGGGGGGUCUUCGGCAGACGUACAUCUGGAAAAGACCGCAGGAGACAGUCGGCCUCCCGGUCCCCCAGGGGGGCAGGGAGGCGAGAUGGAGAUCAGUGA
rnacentral:lncRNA from 1 species